UUUCAAGGACUUGAGGCAGUGGAGAAGUUCUACAAGGCAUAUGCACAUAAUGCGGGUUUUGGAGUUCGUAUCGGACAGCAGAAGAAGAUUGAGAAUAAGGUGGUCCGAACUAAGCGUUUUAUGUGUAACAGGGAAGGAUUCAAGUCCAAAGAUAAUAAGGAGAUCGAUAACCCCUCGAAGAAAAAGCGUAAGGAGGCAAACACACGAUGUGGUUGUGAUGCACACAUCUUUGUCAGACUUUGUGGGGAGAACACCUACAAGAUAGAUUCAUGGGUUGAGCACCAUGUUCAGGGUCUUGUAUCGCCUGAUAAGCGUCAUUUGAUCAGAUCGAAUCGUAGAGUUAGUGAGAGGGCAAAGAAUACAAUAUUUACAUGUCACAAGGCAAGCAUUGGCACCUCUCAGGGCGUACAGGUUACUCCAAGUUAG
rnacentral:rRNA from 1 species